rnacentral:rRNA from 1 species
AUACGGAGGAUCCGAGCGUUAUCCGGAUUUAUUGGGUUUAAAGGGUGCGUAGGUGGUUUGAUAAGUCAGCGGUGAAAGUUUGCAGCUUAACUGUAAAAACGCCGUUGAAACUGUCGGACUUGAGUGUAAAUGAGGUAGGCGGAAUGCGUGGUGUAGCGGUGAAAUGCAUAGAUAUCACGCAGAACUCCGAUUGCGAAGGCAGCUUACUAAGCUACAACUGACACUGAAGCACGAAAGCGUGGGGAUCAAACAGGAUUAGAUACCCUGGUAGUCCACGCAGUAAACGAUGAUUACUAGCUGUUUGCGAUACACAGUAAGCGGCACAGCGAAAGCGUUAAGUAAUCCACCUGGGGAGUACGCCGUCAACGGUGAAACUCAAAUGAAUUGACGGGG